rnacentral:rRNA from 1 species
UACGUAGGGGGGCAAGCGUUGUCCGGAUUUAUUGGGCGUAAAGAGCGUGUAGGCGGCUAGGUAGGUCCGUUGUGAAAACUCGAGGCUCAACCUCGAGACGUCGAUGGAAACCAUCUAGCUAGAGUCCGGAAGAGGAGAGUGGAAUUCCUGGUGUAGCGGUGAAAUGCGCAGAUAUCAGGAGGAACACCAAUUGCGAAGGCAGCACUCUGGGACGUGACUGACGCUGAGACGCGAAAAGCGUGGGGAGCGAACAGG